rnacentral:piRNA from 1 species
UAUGAAAUCGCCUUGAUGAGUUCCUGUUAU